rnacentral:rRNA from 1 species
AACGAACGCUGGCGGCAGGCCUAACACAUGCAAGUCGAGCGCCCCGCCAGGGGAGCGGCGGACUGGUGAGUAACGCGUGGGAAUAUGCCCUUUGCUACGGAAUAGUCUCGGGAAACUGGGGGUAAUACCGUAUACGCCCUUUGGGGGAAAGAUUUAUCGGCGAAGGAUUAGCCCGCGUUGGAUUAGGUAGUUGGUGGGGUAAUGGCCUACCAAGCCGACGAUCCAUAGCUGGUUUGAGAGGAUGAUCAGCCACACUGGGACUGAGACACGGCCCAGACUCCUACGGGAGGCAGCAGUGGGGAAUCUUAGACAAUGGGGGCAACCCUGAUCUAGCCAUGCCGCGUGAGUGAUGAAGGCCUUAGGGUUGUAAAGCUCUUUCAGCUGGGAAGAUAAUGACGGUACCAGCAGAAGAAGCCCCGGCUAACUCCGU